rnacentral:RNase_P_RNA from 1 species
GGAGUGGGGCGGGUGAUCGCUGUUCAUUUUUUGAAUGGAGGAAAGUCCGGGCUCCAUCGGACACGAUGACGGAUAACAUCCGCCAACCGUAAGGUUCGGGAAAGUGCCACAGAAAAUAUACCGCCCAGCUCGCUGGGUAAGGGUGAAAAGGCGAGGUAAAAGCUCACCACGAUUCGGGUAACCAAAUCGGUAAGGCAAACCCCAUCAGGUGCAAGGUCAAAUAAAGACUCAGGGUGUCCGACCCGAUAAAGUCUGGGCAGACCGCUUGAGAAUAUCAGGUAACCGAUAUUCCAGAUAAAUGAUCACCAGUUUGAUCAAUUUUAUUGACCAAAUUACAGAACCCGGCUUAUAGCCCCGCUCCCUUU